GCUGUGAGUCGCUGGGACGUGGUGGGGACUUCCCCCUAGAGUGGUCUGGCCCCCGUCUGAGUCUUAGGCUCUGGUGUGAAAAAGAAACCCAGAGCUGCUCAUACAACAGUGGGACAUGACAACGGGUUGGCUUCUCAGCUCAGACACACCAUGUUACAGGGGACCACAAACAAGAUGCAUUUUCAACUUGCAAUGGGAUUAUUGGGAUGUAGCCCCAUCAUACGUGGAGGAUCGCCUGUGCUGUCUGUGAAUGGCCUAGCACCAUGCCUGGUGUACAACAGACAUUCAUCAGUGGUUCAUUCCGUCCCCUUUUGCAUAAGGAAUCCCCCCUCUCGCUGGGUGAAGUCUGUCACCUUGGUCUUCAGGCUGUUCCUGAAGUUGGUCA